AUGAGGGGGGAGGGAGCAGAGCAGAGGGGUCUGCUCUUUGUUCCCAUGGAUGCAUGCGAGCCCGUGCCGGCGGCCACGAGUGCAAACCCACCCGUUGUGCCGGAUGGAUCCAAUGUGUACCAAUCGGAGCAUGAGUUAUAUGCCGUGGUCUCCACCUCAACCGGACACAUCCACCCAUUUCAAUACGUCCACCACUCUAUUCUUUUAUUUUCUUUUCUCCUUCUUGCAGCUGCUGCUAGAAUCUUGAUUUGUUAUGAUUUUCCAUUCAGUUUCACCUGGUUCAAUCAGUCUUUGACGCUUUCUAUUACUGUCCUCUCGCCGUGGAAGCAAGCCGCCUUGCUGUUAAAUAGGUUUUUGUUUGUGGUGAGCACAACGGCACGUUAA
rnacentral:rRNA from 1 species